rnacentral:piRNA from 1 species
UAAAUUUAUCACUAUUUUUAA